GGUCCAUUAAUGAGAGAAGUUGCUGAACUUCUGGAAAUAAAACUCCUAUUGAAUGGUUAGCUCCUUUGGAAGUUUUGGUUAUUUGAGCAAUAGCUCUUAUUUUGAAGUUGUUUUGUAUGGAAAUAUGGAAAUGACUGUUCUAUUGAUACAGUAUUAAAUUGUUAUAAAUUGGGUCACAUUUUUUCAGUUUUUAGCAUAUAUAUAUGGUUAUUUGCUAUUCAGUGUUUAAUUUUUUUAACAUCAGGUUAGAGAUGAUUUACUUCCAGAUUUAAUUGCAUAGGCUGUUGUAGUGACAUUAAAAAAAAGUUCCUUUAUGAUAUAAGUUCCAAAGAUUUAGAGAAGUAUUAUGGAUAUUUUUUUCCAAUGAAUUUUUUUUAGUUUUUGUUCUUAAUGGAUUAAAUAGUAGAAAAUUUGUUCCAAUACCACCAAUAGGAACAGAUUUUAUUCUGUAUACUAUUACAGCAUUGUUUAAAACCAGGUUUCCACAGGAAAUUCUGUUUAUAGGAGGAACAUAUUAUAUAUAAACAAAGUACUGCCAUACAAUUUGGGGUUCAGCUAGCCAUAAAACCAGGUUGAAAACACCAUCUUUUAAAUUGGAAAAAUUAAAAUAACAAUAAUAUUGAAAUCUGAAUAAAAUUUGAAUCAAAAGUCUGUAUUCAAAUGAAAAAAAAAACAAAAGCUCAAACGAAUGGAUAACAACCGUCAUAUUCCUG
rnacentral:lncRNA from 1 species